rnacentral:rRNA from 1 species
AUUGAACGCUGGCGGCAGGCCUAACACAUGCAAGUCGAGCGAGCGGCGGACGGGUGAGUAAUGUCUGGGAAACUGCCUGAUGGAGGGGGAUAACUACUGGAAACGGUAGCUAAUACCGCAUACCAUCAGAUGUGCCCAGAUGGGAUUAGCUAGUAGGGGGGGUAACGGCUCACCUAGGCGACGGUCCCUAGCUGGUCUGAGAGGAUGAACAGCCACACUGGAACUGAGACAUGGCCCAGACUCCUACGGGAGGCAGCAGUGGGGAAUUUUGGACAAUGGGGGAAACCCUGAUCCAGCCAUCCCGCGUGUGCGAUGAAGGCCUUCGGGUUGUAAAGCACUUUCAGCGGGGAGGCGUUACCCGCAGAAGAAGCACCGGCUAACUCCGUGCCAGCCGCCGCGGUAAUAC